UCAGUGAUCCCAUGUCGGCUUCCAGACCACAAUGACCUGGGAGCAGGGCAACUUUAUGUGGCCUCGCCUGCCCCGUAGCCUCUGUCGCUGGCCGAGGAUCAGGGCUGUCUGAGGUCGCUUGAAACGCAACCAGCGAGAAUCAAGGACCUAAACACUGUAGGAGGAUCAGAGGAGGAAGGUGGAAGAUCGAUGGGCUGAUGGUGCAAAGGGAACUGCCGAGCCAGCCCUGAUAGCGCAACCACAAACACCUAUCGACAGUUGCCCCGAGGUGACCCAAAGGUCACCGGGAAAUAUAUGGAUCCGACUCAAGUCUAAUUGGUUGGUGUUGGGAAACCAGGAGGAUGCACUGAAGAAAUGGAAAAACGAUUCUCAAUUCACCGGGCGAGAGUUCGGACAUACGUUGCACCAUUAUCGCGUGGAACAGCUUCUGGAGCCCUGUGGUUUUACUCCUGACGCGCUGCAGCCUCAUCAUCAGGGACAGGGCUCACCUCAGCCGUCAAUAGGAAACGUGUCAUCGAGGUUCAGCGGGGGUGUUACUCCUGUAAUUAAGCCCCAACACUCAUUGUGCUUAUGAAAACCACCGAGCAACCAGGCCACUCGCCUCCACUCUUUAACCUCAUCCUUCCUUGGAAUCAUCCGGCGGGGUCUAAUUAUGGGCUUCAAGGAUGAAAAGUCAUGUCCAAACACAACAUAACCCACAAGCAUGUG